rnacentral:rRNA from 1 species
UCCAGACUCCUACGGGAGGCAGCAGUGGGGAAUAUUGGACAAUGGGGGGAACCCUGAUGCAGCGACGCCGCGUGGGUGAAGGAGCGUUUCGGCGCGUAAAGCCCUAUCGGCAGGGAAGAAGGAGGACGGUACCUGACUAAGAAGCCCCGGCUAACUACGUGCCAGCAGCCGCGGUAAUACGUAGGGGGCAAGCGUUAUCCGGAUUUACUGGGUGUAAAGGGGGCGCAGACGGCAGCGCAAGCCAGGAGUGAAAGCCCGGGGCCCAACCCCGGGACUGCUCUUGGAACUGCGUGGCUAGAGUGCAGGAGGGGCAGGCGGAAUUCCUGGUGUAGCGGUGAAAUGCGUAGAUAUCAGGAGGAACACCGGUGGCGAAGGCGGCCUGCUGGACUGCAACUGACGUUGAGGCCCGAAAGCGUGGGGAGCAAACAGGAUUAGAUACCCUCGUA